UAUUUAACUUUGCAUCUCAUUAACAAAUUCAAAAUCAUACAUAAUGAAUUAUUUCGCCAAAUUUGUCGUCAUCUGCGCCAUAAUUGGGACCGCGGCGGCGGGGGCAACAUCUUCAAUCAGUCUCAGUUCACCUAUCGCCCUUGAGGAACAAUCGACCAACGGCGUUGUCACAAAUAUUACGCGAUGUGGUGACUGAAAAGUCUGCAAAUUUUUGGUGGGAACGGAACACCAAUCCAACUCAGAGUUUCGGAAUGCGAAGGAAGAUGCUCUCUCGUACCCGGUCGCGUUUACAAUAUCGAGUAUGACUUCAUCCCGAGCUCCGCCGCCCCCGGGCUUAGUUUGGCUUGUGACCUCGUCUUUCUGGGCACCCCGCACCGACUUUUCGACACCGCACUUCCCAACUCUGGCGUUCUACCGGGUCAAAUGUACACCGUCCGCUUUUCCGUCGUACCCAAUGAUAUCUUAUCCGGUCGAACGGUUAACCUUCGUGCCAUAAUUUAUCAUACGGAUAAUCGAUUAUUGGAAAUUUGUGUAGAGUCGGAAGUUGAUAUUUUGCCACUUCCGUUUUAAGUUUGUUAAAUUCAAGUAAAUUUGUAAGAACAAAUACAUUUUGUAAUUCUAAUUUUCAAAUUAUUCAUGAUCGGAAAAUAUAAAUUAUUGCAAAACUUGUAAAGUAAUUAGACAAUUAAGUUACAUACUAAAGUAAUACGCACACAUAACUAUUUUUACUGCCCAAUCUAAAUAUAUGUCUAAAAACGUUCUUUAGUAAAUUUUGAUGUUUAAUCGUCAAUCAUUUUUUAAAUUUUAAUCUUUUAACCAAGUGAAUUUUUUGUACACUUUUUGAGCGCUUUUAUGUGUCAUAA